rnacentral:rRNA from 1 species
UACAGAGGUCUCAAGCGUUGUUCGGAUUCAUUGGGCGUAAAGGGUGCGUAGGCGGCGCGGUAAGUCGGGUGUGAAAUCUUGGAGCUUAACUCCGAAACUGCAUUCGAUACUGCCGUGCUUGAGGACUGGAGAGGAGACUGGAAUUUACGGUGUAGCGGUGAAAUGCGUAGAUAUCGUAAGGAAGACCUGUGGCGAAGGCGGGUCUCUGGACAGUUCCUGACGCUGAGGCACGAAGGUCAGGGGAGCAAACGGG